CUGGCUUCCAGCCUGCUUAACCCCUUGUAGGGCCUGAGAGCAAGACAGCACGGUGAGGCGUGCCAGCCCCAAGAGACACCUCAUACACAGAGGCUGCGGCCGGAAGGGGCCGAGGACAGGAUGGGCGACCCAGUCAUACAGCAACAUCUGGGGGCGGGCGGGUGAGUCCACCCACUGUGCAGGUGAGGAAAAGUUGCCCCGAGCUGGUGGGCAUGCUGUCCCACUUUGCAGAACCUCUGCCUGACUUCUGGGGAGACCAGAGAUUCAUGUCCAAUCAAGCAUCCUGGGAACGCCUCCAAUUUGCCAUGAAAUAGUUGUAAGUGUCAAGAAAAGCAGUUUCCAGGUUAAGGGAAGUCGAGGGGAAGACCCAUCCUUGGGUUUCUGGGUGGCAUCAGGCUAUAAGAAGCAGCUACCGUGGGUCUCUGCGGCCACAGGCCCCUGCCCGCUACCCGCCCGGACGGGCUCCCCUGGGGCCAGUGCUCAGUGCCAGCCUCUCUCCUGGGCCUCCAGGAGGACGCCUCCCUAAUUAGCUGCCAAGAGUGUUGCGAUGGGCAGCAGGCUGGCAGGGCCGGCCGGCCACAGGGAGCCACAGCCCGAAAUAAAUAGUCUCUCUGGGAAAGUUCUGCUGUCACCUCAGAGGCCCAGGUGGUCCAGGAGGACCCUGGCCUUGCAGCUUCCUCUGCUCCAUACGCCGGGGGACCGUCCAGGCAGGGGGACAGCACGGGCAAAGGUCUGGAGAUGCGACCACAUGGCAGAGGGACACUCCAGCCUGGGUGCCGCCGUCUUACCUCUGACAGCUCACAACGUGCAACGCUCUUUUAAGCGGCAGCAGCAGCAAGAAUCCUGAAAAUCUGCAGACCUGGUCUGUGUGGCUCCAGAGUUUUGAAGCUGAAGGAUGAAACGGAGAUAACUGAAGGAAGUACAAAAUAAGGAAUAACUUGCAAACACAUCAAGGUGAGCACAAGGGGUGGCCACGCUGGAUUUCCUGGUCUAGAUGACCUUUGAGUUUCCUGCAGAGCCUGACAUUCAAGGUUUCAUGUUUCCCCUAAAACAAGAAGGUGCUGGAGAAACAAUAAACACGGAUGCAGCAUUCAAUACACCUCAUCCUCCUCCAUCCUGUGAUAUUGGCGUUGAGAUCCCGACUUUACAGACACGGGACAGGACAGCAGCCAAGUGAAGGAUUCACCUGAAGUCAGCUGGCAGGUGACAGAAGAGGGACUCAAACUCCGCUCUGUCUGGUUCCGGGGGUUUUUCAUUUCACGAGUUUCCUCCCUGUCUGCAUGCAAGCCCCUGGUGGAAUGCGAGCUAAUUUUGGGGGGGGGGGGUAUGUGGAUGAAAAAGUUAAAUUUAAUUAACUUUGAAUUUAUUUGAAGGCACAUUGUAAUAAAUAUAUAAACUGUACAUCAAACCAGUGAUUUCACGGCUACUAUUUUGUAGGAGGAGGAGAAAUUUUUUCAAAAAGUGCGUUGAUUUAGAGUGAAUUGAAGAGAAGGAUUAACUUGAUAACAGUAAAGCUGUAGGUGGAUCCAGCAAAACCGUGAUGACGGUGGGCGAAGGAUGAAGGGGGCACCCGGCCCUAGACCAGGUGGCACCUCUCGUCCCAGGAGUGCGAGCUCACCAGGUCUGCUGUUGAGGAAAAGACUGGGCGGGGGGCGCAGGGGCGGGCGCUGUGCGCCUUCCGCUGAACCACGCUCUGCUCACGGCCCCUCACUUUAUCACAAACGCUCUCUC
rnacentral:lncRNA from 1 species